AGCGAACGCUGGCGGCAGGCCUAACACAUGCAAGUCGAACGAACCUUUCGGGGUUAGUGGCGGACGGGUGAGUAACACGUGGGAACGUGCCUUUAGGUUCGGAAUAACUCAGGGAAACUUGUGCUAAUACCGAAUGUGCCCUUCGGGGGAAAGAUUUAUCGCCUUUAGAGCGGCCCGCGUCUGAUUAGCUAGUUGGUUGAGGUAAUGGCUCACCAAGGCGACGAUCAGUAGCUGGUCUGAGAGGAUGAUCAGCCACAUUGGGACUGAGACACGGCCGAGACUCGGGCGGGAGGCGGCAAGAGGGACUCUUGCGCAAUGGGCGAAAGCGGGACGGAGAAAAGCAGCGGGAGUGAUGAAGGUCUUCGGAUCGUAAAACACUGUUAUGAGGGAAGACGAAAUGGGUAAGUAACUAUGCACGUCUUGACGGUAGCUAAUCAGAAAGCGACGGCUCACUACGUG
rnacentral:rRNA from 1 species